rnacentral:lncRNA from 1 species
UGUUUAAUGAAACAUUUUUUCCUUUUGUAACUAAUUCUAAUAUUACCUGUAGUCCUUCUAUUUUCUCUUUUCCACCUCCUAUUGUCCCUUCUUCUGAUCAGCAGAAUUCUGGGACACACAUUUCUGUCCCAACUUGUUCUCAUGUUCCUUCUCCUCCUGAAUCUUUUCCUUCUACUUCUAGUCUUGCUCAUUCUUUUGUUCCCGACUCACCAUUUUCUGAACCUGUUCCUUCUACUUCCAGUCCAUCCUUUAAUCCUGAUAUUCCACCUCCUGCUAUUCUUUCCCCUACACACCCUAAUGUCAACAGAAGAUCUGGAAGGAAACACACC